UCGAAACUAAGAGCAGGAUAGACAUUGC
rnacentral:piRNA from 1 species